rnacentral:rRNA from 1 species
UUGGAGGGCAAGUCUGGUGCCAGCAGCCGCGGUAAUUCCAGCUCCAAUAGCGUAUAUUAAAGUUGUUGCAGUUAAAAAGCUCGUAGUUGAAUUUCGGGAUUGACGGUGAUGGUCAUGCCUUAAGGGGUAUGAACUGUCACUGUUGAUUUCUCACCUUCUGGAGAAACUUGAUGUCCUUUAUUGGGUGUCUUGCGGAUCCAGGACCUUUACCUUGAAAAAAUUAGAGUGUUUAAAGCAGGCAUUUUUGCUCGAAUACAUUAGCAUGGAAUAAUAGAAUAGGAUGGCAUGGUUCUAUUUUGUUGGUUUCUAGGAUCACCGUAAUGAUUAAUAGGGAUAGUUGGGGGCAUUAGUAUUCAAUUGUCAGAGGUGAAAUUCUUGGAUUUAUUGAAGACUAACUACUGCGAAAGCAUUUGCCAAGGAUGUUUUCAUUAAUCAAGAACGAAAGUUAGGGGAUCGAAGACGAUCAGAUACCGUCGUAGUCUUAACCAUAAACUAUGCCGACUAGGGAUUGGACGAUGUUAAUUUUUUAAUGACUCGUUCAGCACCUUACGGGAAACCAAAGUGUUUGGGUUC